UUUGUAGAGGAUGCUUUUGGUGAGGUGCCUUCCGAGUUCCCUGGAACGGGACGCCAUANAGGGUGAGAGCCCCGUCUGGNUGGACACCGAUCCUCUGUNNAGCUCCUUCNACNAGUCNAGNANUUNGGGAAUGCUGCUCUNNAUGGGAGGNAUAUGUCUUCUAAAGCUAAAUACCGGCCAGAGACCGAUAGCGCACAAGUAGAGUGAUCGAAAGAUGAAAAGAACUUUGAAAAGAGAGUUAAAAAGUACGUGAAAUUGUUGAAAGGGAAGCGCUUGUGACCAGACUUGGGCUUGGUUGAUCAUCCGGGGUUCUCCCCGGUGCACUCUUCCGGCUCAGGCCAGCAUCAGUUCGCCCUGGGGGAUAAAGGCUUCGGGAAUGUGGCUCUCUCCGGGGAGUGUUAUAGCCCGCUGCGUAAUACCCUGUGGCGGACUGAGGUUCGCGCAUUCNCAAGGAUGCUGGCGUAAUGGUCAUCAGUGACCCGUCUUGAAACACGGACCAAGGAGUCGUCUUCGUAUGCGAGUGUUCGGGUGUCAAACCCCUACGCGAAAUGAAAGUGAACGCAGGUGAGAGNUUCGGCGCAUCAUCGACCGAUCCUGAUGUUUUCGGAUGGAUUUGAGUAAGAGCAUACGGGGCCGGACCCGAAAGAAGGUGAACUAUGCCUGUGUAGGGUGAAGCCAGAGGAAACUCUGGUGGAGGCUCGCAGCGGUUNCGACGUGCAAAUCGAUCGUCAAACAUGGGCAUGGGGGNGAAAGACUAAUCGAACCUUCUAGUAGCUGGUUUCCGCCGAAGUUUCCCUCAGGAUAGCAGUGUUGAACUCAGUUUUAUGAGGUAAAGCGAAUGACUAGGGACUCGGGGGCGCUAUUUAGCCUUCANCCAUUCUCAAACUUUAAAUAUGUAAGAAGCCCUUGGUUCUUAAUUGAACGUGGGCAUUNGAAUGAAUCANCUCUAGUGGNCCAUUUUUGGUAAGCAGANCNGNNGAUUCGGGAUGAACCGAACGNGAGGNUAAGGUNCCAGAGUAGNCGCUCAUCACACNCCCCAAAAGGUGUUAGUNCAUCUUGACAGCAGGGAGCGGNCCAUGGAAGUCCGAAUCCGNUAAGGACNGUGUAACANCUCNCCUNCCGAAUGUACUAGCCCUGAAAAGGGAUGGCGNUCAAGCGUCUCACCCAUACCUCGCCCUCAGGGUAGANACGAUNCCUUGAGGAGUAGNCGGACGUGGAGGUCAGUG
rnacentral:rRNA from 1 species